GUUUUGAGAGUGGAGUUCUCUGAAGUUCAACAGAGUAUCUAACUGGUAAAAAUUAAGCUGCUGACCUAUGGAUCCCUCAGCCCUAUCUAUCUAUAAUUCCAAUAAUAAUACUAAUAUUGUUGGAUAGGUUUGUGGCUUGCAUAUGUCAGGAGCUUCAUUAUUCUAAGUUGGAUCCCUUUUUGGAUUGAAGGGAGCUCUACAUUCAUCUCUC
rnacentral:pre_miRNA from 1 species